GACCAGACUCCUACGGGAGGCAGCAGUGAGGAAUAUUGGUCAAUGGGCUUACGCCUGAACCAGCCAAGUCGCGUGAGGGAAGACUGCCCUAUGGGUUGUAAACCUCUUUUGUCAGGGAGCAAUUGGCGCUACGUGUAGCGUUAUCGAGAGUACCUGAAGAAAAAGCAUCGGCUAAUUCCGUGCCAGCAGCCGCGGUAAUACGGAGGAUGCGAGCGUUAUCCGGAUUUAUUGGGUUUAAAGGGUGCGCAGGGGGAGAUUUAAGUCAGCGGAAAAAUGGGGGGGCGCACCCCCGACGAGCCGUUGAAACUGGCUUGCUAGAGUGGGCGAGAAGUAUGCGGAAUGCGUGGUGUAGCGGUGAAAUGCAUAGAUAUCACGCAGAACUCCGAUUGCGAAGGCAGCAUACCGGCGCCCAACUGACGCUCAGGCACGAAAGCGUGGGUAUCGAACAGGAUUAGAUACCCUUGUAAC
rnacentral:rRNA from 1 species